CCUACGGGAGGCAGCAGUGAGGAAUAUUGGUCAAUGGGCGGGAGCCUGAACCAGCCAAGUCGCGUGAGGGAUGACGGCCCUAUGGGUUGUAAACCUCUUUUGUUGGGGAGCAAAAGACGCCACGCGUGGCGUUCCGAGAGUACCCGAAGAAAAAGCAUCGGCUAACUCCGUGCCAGCAGCCGCGGUAAUACGGAGGAUGCGAGCGUUAUCCGGAUUUAUUGGGUUUAAAGGGUGCGCAGGCGGACGAUCAAGUCAGCGGUAAAAUUGAGGGGCUCAACCUCUUCGAGCCGUUGAAACUGGUUUGCUUGAGUGAGCGAGAAGUAUGCGGAAUGUGUGGUGUAGCGGUGAAAUGCAUAGAUAUCACGCAGAACUCCGAUUGCGAAGGCAGCAUACCGGCGCUCAACUGACGCUCAUGCACGAAAGUGUGGGUAUCGAACAGGAUUAGAUACCCCUGUAGUC
rnacentral:rRNA from 1 species